rnacentral:rRNA from 1 species
GUGGGUAAUCUGCCCUGCACAUCGGGAUAAGCCUGGGAAACUGGGUCUAAUACCGAAUAGGACCACAGAACACAUGUCCUGUGGUGGAAAGCUUUUGCGGUGUGGGAUGGGCCCGCGGCCUAUCAGCUUGUUGGUGGGGUGAUGGCCUACCAAGGCGACGACGGGUAGCCGGCCUGAGAGGGUGUCCGGCCACACUGGGACUGAGAUACGGCCCAGACUCCUACGGGAGGCAGCAGUGGGGAAUAUUGCACAAUGGGCGAAAGCCUGAUGCAGCGACGCCGCGUGGGGGAUGACGGCCUUCGGGUUGUAAACCUCUUUCACCAUCGACGAAGGUCCGGGUUUUCUCGGGCUGACGGUAGGUGGAGAAGAAGCACCGGCCAACUACGUGCCAGCAGCCGCGGUAAUACGUAGGGUGCGAGCGUUGUCCGGAAUUACUGGGCGUAAAGAGCUCGUAGGUGGUUUGUCGCGUUGUUCGUGAAAUCUCACGGCUUAACUGUGAGCGUGCGGGCGAUACGGGCAGACUUGAGUACUGCAGGGGAGACUGGAAUUCCUGGUGUAGCGGUGGAAUGCGCAGAUAUCAGGAGGAACACCGGUGGCGAAGGCGGGUCUCUGGGCAGUAACUGACGCUGAGGAGCGAAAGCGUGGGGAGCGAACAGGAUUAGAUACCCUGGUAGUCCACGCCGUAAACGGUGGGUACUAGGUGUGGGUUUCCUUCCUUGGGAUCCGUGCCGUAGCUAACGCAUUAAGUACCCCGCCU